GUGUCAGCAGCCGCGGUAAUACGGAGGGUGCAAGCGUUGUUCGGAAUCACUGGGCGUAAAGGGCGUGUAGGCGGUCCGCUAAGUCUGAUGUGAAAGCCCGAGGCUUACCCUCGGAAGUGCAUUGGAGACUGGCGGACUGGAGUCCCGGAGAGGAGGGUGGAAUUCCUGGUGUAGCGGUGAAAUGCGUAGAUAUCAGGAGGAACACCGGUGGCGAAGGCGGCCCUCUGGACGGUGACUGACGCUGAGACGCGAAAGCGUGGGGAGCAAACAGGAUUAGAUACCCUCGUAGUCC
rnacentral:rRNA from 1 species